CAAGGUGUGGAUCUGCCGUGUCUGGGCGCUGGCGGUGACGCUCGGGGAGUUUAAUUAGAGCAUGGCUACGACAGCAGUGCUUGUGCAGCCAUCCCACCGGCCAGGUCGGGACCCUGCACUGCCUCAGUGCUUCCUCCCCUGGAGAAGAGAUCUUGGGAUACCUUCAGCGUGUGCAAUGUUCCCGUUCCUGCCGCUAAAUCAGACAGGGAUUGCUGGUGUCAGGACCGGGCUGGACGCACCCCAGGACACCGCUCCAAGCACCAUCCCAGCUCUCCAGACACCAGCCAGUGGUGCAGCAGCCUGGCCCCCUUCACCGGCGAGCCAGUGGCACCUGGCAGAGACACCUUUCAUGUCUCCAAGAGUGGAAGUCAGCACAUGGAUAAUUACAAGGCAGCGCAUCUCCGUGCCCUGUGACUAAGGCACCAUGUAGAGCAAAGUGAGAAUCUUCAUCCGCAGCGUGUCCUGGAGACACAGCAGCAGCAUCUGCCGGGCUCCAGCUCCACUCUCCUCCUGCCCCAGCCCUUCACUGCACAACUGCUGAGCCCGGGGACGAGUCGGGGCGACAGUGACAAAUGCGGCCCUGAAGAGGAGCAGUCUGGCUGUCACUCGAGAUUAAGUCCUCUGUCACCAGAGAGCAGGAGGUACCAGGUGCUUGAGCUCAAGGAACCUCUCCCUCAGGUGUGAGGAAGCAGCAGGCUCUGCGGGUGACCUUGGCCGUGACUGUGGCGCAGCUGGGCCAGGAUGGCUGGACAGAGAGCUUGGAGUCCAGCUGGAAGGACUCCAGGAUUUCCCUGGAGGUCCCAAGGAGCUGGGGUCGGUUGGUGGUGACAGCAGGAUGCAGGUGAGCAUUUUCCAGGCCGAUGCGAUUUUCCAGCAAUGGCAGAGCCAGAGCUUUGGGAAAGGACUGCAGAAAUCCCGUAUGCCCUAAAACUGGGUACGCCAGAGCCUGGAGCGCUGGAGAUACCAAAGGGCAGGAGCAGAGCCUCAUCCAGGGUCCAAAACCAGAGCCUGGCUGCUGUUAGAAAAGAAGAAAAAGAAAAAAGGACUGAACAGCAACAACAAAAAGUCUGAUCCCAGAUUGUAGAUGUAGUUUGGAAACCGAUGUUAUGCAAAUGAGUUCACUUCGAAAGCUAAUCACUUUGAAAGGUCAAAACUUACAGUCAUAAUCGGACUAAACAAAAAGCUAAUUAGAGGUCUUUUGUGUGCCUAAAUGAGGCCGGGGAGUUCCCCCUGCUCCCAGGGGUGAGGGGUGCUCAGGAGGGCCCUUGGCAGGAUUAGUUCUUCGCGAGGUAUUUGCUGGUGAAAGCCUCUCGCCGAGUGAAUGGAAAUAAUGACCCGGGAGCGGCCGCGGAGCGGAGCCGUGGGUUGGAGCCACAUCAAACUGAAGGAUAAACCGAGGGUGGCCGGGGCUGGAGCGUGGUGCUCGCGGGGUGCAGCUGACACGGGAAUGACGGUGCUCCACCCUCAGCGCCAUGCUGAGCUCCACCCUCAGCACCGUCCUCAGCUCCAUCCUCAGCGCCAUC